AGGAAACACCCGAUCCCAUCCCGAACUCGGAAGUUAAGCUCUUUAGCGGCGAAGGUAGUGCACGGGAGACUGUGUGUGAGAAUAGCAGGUCGCACCUU
rnacentral:rRNA from 1 species